CGUAGGCAACCUGCCCUUAUGCAAGGGAUAACCCAUCGAAAGGUGGACUAAUACCUUAUAACACAUUGAAUUCGCAUGGGAUUAAUGUCAAAGUUCGCUUUCGGGCGACCACAUAAGGAUGGGCCUGCGUUCCAUUAGUUAGUUGGUGAGGUAAAGGCUCACCAAGGCGACGAUGGAUAGCUGGUUUGAGAGAGUGAUCAGCCACACUGGGACUGAGAUACGGCCCAG
rnacentral:rRNA from 1 species